GACGAACGCUGGCGGCGUGCCUAAUACAUGCAAGUCGAGCGAAUCUGAGGGAGCUUGCUCCCAAAGAUUAGCGGCGGACGGGUGAGUAACACGUGGGCAACCUGCCUGUAAGACUGGGAUAACUCCGGGAAACCGGGGCUAAUACCGGAUAAUAUCUAUUUAUACAUAUAAUUAGAUUGAAAGAUGGUUCUGCUAUCACUUACAGAUGGGCCCGCGGCGCAUUAGCUAGUUGGUGAGGUAACGGCUCACCAGGGCGACGAUGCGUAGCCGACCUGAGAGGGUGAUCGGCCACACUGGGACUGAGACACGGCCCAGACUCCUACGGGAGGCAGCAGUAGGGAAUCUUCCGCAAUGGACGAAAGUCUGACGGAGCAACGCCGCGUGAGUGAUGAAGGUUUUCGGAUCGUAAAACUCUGUUGUUAGGGAAGAACAAGUACCGGAGUAGCUGCCGGUACCUUGACGGUACCUAACCAGAAAGCCACGGCUAACUACGUGCCAGCAGCCGCGGUAACAC
rnacentral:rRNA from 1 species